UUGUUUUUUUUUGUUUUGGACGUAAAUGACAGUAUUCAGAGUAUAAUCUUCGGCAGGUGCUGGCCCGCUCGAAAGCCGACGUUCGCCUGCCGAAGCAACUUGACGUUUAAGCAAGGGUGAGGAGUGCUUCGGUUUACCCAAAACAUCUCGGUAAUGAUCCUUCCGCAGGUUCACCUACGGAAA
rnacentral:misc_RNA from 1 species